UCCUAUCGAACACGGCCAUGGACUACUAGCUACAUCACAAAAUAACAUCAGACUUUUCGGGAGGGAAAGAGUUUGAUGAUGGUUGAAAGAGCGCCUUUACCUUGAAAAGACAGUUAAAUGGCAUCCCUUGCGAGGACAAGAACAAGAUGUAUGUCAGGAGGAAAAGUGCAGUAUUAUCACAAGGAAAGGUAUACUUGGAAUACGGGUGAAGAAUAGAGGGGAAAAGAGAGAGAAGGAGGAAAAGGGUCGGUUAGCGGGCGGGCGGAAAAAAAGGGAGAUUGGAAGAAAGUGUAAGCUGAUCGAUUUGUGGUUUCACGGUGGGUGGAAAAAAAGUGUUGGGUCAUGUGGAAUCGGUGAGGGUAACUAGAAGUGGUCUAGUGAUAACUGUUUGUGUGUCUGUUGGGCAGAGGAAGAAUGCGCUUGAAGUAAAACGAAUGGAGGUAAGUAAAGUGAAGUGUUUCGUUCUCAAGAAAAAGGCACCAAUGAAAUGAGAUAUAACUGGGGUAGCAGUAGAUCUAGACGUUGACCAGUUGAAGGCAAAGAUUCCCGGUGUAUGUGAUGCUCGGCGUUUGAUGCGACGCAGACAGGAUGGGGAAACAGAGUCAGUGUCUGUUCUUUUGAGUUUUGAAGCCGAGUCUUUGCCUGAUAAAGUGAAGAUGGGACAUAUAAGUUAUCCUGUACGAGCGUAUGUGCCGAAUAUGUUAAGAUGUUACAGGUGUCAAGCUUAUGGGCAUGUGGCAGCAGUGUGUAGGAGGGAGGGUCCAAGGUGUGAGAAAUGCGCAGAAGGGCAUGAGACAAAGGAAUGUGUAGUAUUGGGGAAAGUAGUGGAAUGUGUUAAUUGUAGGGGUGCCCAUGGAGCUGGGGAUCAGAAAUGUCCCGUGCGAGAGAAGCAGGUUGAGGUUUCUAGAGUUAAGAGUAGAGCAGCAUUUGUCAUAUGCUGAGGCGGUAGAGAAAGUAGAGGAAGAUGGGAGAAGUGGUGAGAGUAGUAGAGAUAUACUAGUACAGAGGGAUAGGCCAAAAAGUUAAAUAAGUUUCAGUAAGAUUGGAUUUUUAGCAUUUACAGCAAUGGUUAUUAAUUGUACUGCAGGAAUAGAUCAGAAGUCUCUCAGAAAAUUGAGGUUGUGGUGGCAGCUGUAGAGAGGCAUUUGGGUGUGCAUGACUUGACAGCAGGAGAGUUACAGGAUGUGGUGAUUUCCCAUCCUUUUAGGGUGAUGGCAUGAGGUAGGAAGUAGGAAUAAAUACAUUUAAUUAGUGGAGUAGGGGGGUGUUCAUUUUAUUUUAAAUCAUUUUGAAAUUAGUGAAUAUAGUGUUAGAUGGGUAUUUAGUACAUUUUUCUACUUUUAAGUAAAGUAUAAGGUAUUGUAGGUCUGGCAGUAAUGCAACAAAUUGGAUGCAACCAUCGUUAACCUCAUAGAAGAAGGAGAUGAAAGACCUCCAAUCCUCAACAUGACUGGCUGCGUUUUGCUACAAUCAUUAUUUAGUUUUCCAAGGACCCAUAAAACAGAGGCCGUGGGAGAACCUAUUAAAAUACAGAGAGCUGUCGAAGCCUGUCUGCAGAUGAAGAGGUCCCAGUGAAUGUCCCAACAGAGUGGUGAAAUGUCUGGAAGCACGAGAUGGGAUCCUUAGCUUAAAACAUAUACACAACUACUACUACCAAGUCCAAUGCCAGAUACUUUUCUCCAAGGUCUGAGUGGCACUGUGAUAAUGAAGAUUGUUUGACGAAGACUACCACAACAAUUACAUUGUCUAUGCUAAAUGUGUUUAAAUUGUUAAGAAAUAAAAGUUAGGCUAUAAGAAAUACUUUCUAUUCAAUGGAACUAGGCAAAGCAAAGAUUACUAUUUUAAUUUCACCCAUACAACAAUGUAGCCUAUUAUUAAAGUACAGUAUGUUUACAAUAUCAUAAACAGUAGUAUUUUACAUGUUCCAAAUGACAUUUUACAUACUCAUACAGUUUUGUCUUGACAAAGUGAAGGUGCUCUACUCAAAUGGAAUCAAUGGAAUCAACAGAAUCAUUCAGAUUUACCAAAGCACAUCAUAUAACAACCAUCUUGUAUAAUUGAGUGAAGUCUCCUUUAAUAUUUGGAAAAGGACAAAGUACUAGAAGUAGAUACGGAUGCUUCUGCAGCAUUGCUCAUCUUCACAGUGGGUAUCCAGUCAGCAUGGGUGUCUUAAUAAUAAUAAUAUUUUAUUUAUUUCACCUUUAUUUAACCAGGUAGGCAAGUUGAGAACAAGUUCUCAUUUACAAUUGCGACCUGGGGAGGUCAACUGGGGUGCCUACAUAAAAUGAAAAGCACACCUGAUGUUAGAAUAUCACUUCUUCAGGUCACCUAUACCAUCAGGGCUCUUACUUGUUUGGUUCUGUUUAAUUCAUUCUGGUGUUAAUACCAUAUAAAGAUUACAUAUAUUGUUGGGCUGGAACAAGCAAUAGUCAACACAGCAGGUUGUCCUAUCCUAUUGAGGCCUUUUUCCUAUGUUGUAAUGUGCACACAUUUUCACUUAUGAAUAAAGUUCUCAACAAAUUUUCACUGGGUUAUCAUAUGAUAAAAUAUAACCACUGGAGCUUUUUUGGAAAAUAAUGUCCUCCAGGCAAUAUGGAUGUCAUAUUGUACAAUUUGUGGCUCCCCUUUUCAUGAUCAUGGCUAGAAGGGAUCCAGUUUUUGUAAAAAUGAACGUCAUAUUUGAUAUUUCGUAGCAAAUAUCAAAAGCUGGAUCCCUUUUAGCCAGGACCCCUUUUUCAUAGGCCUUGAUAACAUGGUUGCAUUCAAGACAAGGUCGUUUUUAUUGGUCUGUUGUCAGUGUCCGUAGGGUAGGCUACCAUCGUAUUAGAAAAACAUACUGCUAAUUCCUCCAGUCAUAUAAAGUGUAGUAUAAUUGCAUGAAAAGUUUACCAAAAGGCCACAUUAUUCCCAUGCGAAGGAAACAGCUCUGAUAUUGCCUAUGUCGCUAACGUUACGCGCUUAUUAAUAGUCUAAAUUAUCACUAUCCAAUCUACUCAUCACAUGAACAGUAGAUUUACAUUAUUCUGCAAAUGCGAUGAUAGAGGCACACAAUUCUUUGUUAUAAAUGUGCAUUUUAAUGGUGAAAAAUAGCUUCCCUAAAACUUUAAACUCACGCGACACAUGCUAAAUUGAGACACUACCGGCUAUCCUGCUAGCUAAUUUAGUGUUGUUGCUAACAAAACUCGAAAUCGAUCAGACUUGAUUUACCAGUGAUGAAAUUAUCGUAGCAGACCAGUUACUGACAGCUGUCUGUGAUCAGGCCUUUACAAGCAAAACGGUUUCUUCGCUUUUCUGACAGUUUUUGAGUCUUAUCUCACUGGUGUCACCAAUGGUGUUUCAUGAUUGCGGGGAAUCUUUAAACAUGUUUUUUUUUUCCGUCGUCUUUCCUGCCUUGUUAGAGCAGCCAAAUACUCUACAGAAAAUUACCGUGGUAAUGAAUCAACUCUUUAGGCACUGUUAUCAUUUAGUUUGGGGAAGCCACUCGGUUGUUGUUGUCAGAAGAAUAAAGGCGGUGGUCUUCCAACAUGGCAGCCAGGAGGCGUCGUACGCCAACUGCGAGCCCUCUAUUGUUGUCUACGCCAUCUCAAGCUAGUCUCAAAAUGAGAUGGCAAGUAUCAUCUACAGUACCUACAAGGAACAAAGUAAUCAUAAGGUUGCCUAACACCAAAUGCAAUUAUAAAGUAAUUCAUCCCUAUGUGUGAGAUUUAUGUGUUUAAAAAAAAAAUAUGCCAUAAAUAUGCCAUUCUGGAACACAGUUCAAAUAAAUAAAUAAAUUGAUGGGGGAAAAAAUUCGUGGAACAUUUUUCAUGAUCAAAAUACAUAUCCAUAAUAUAUUAUUUUGUAUGGGGGUGUGAUAUUUAUGUUCUUAAAGAUAUAUGAUCAUACAUUUAAAAAUAUGUCACGUUUAUAUAUGAGUUUUAAAUAUACAGUGCAUUCUGAAAGUAUUCAGAUAUCUUUCAUUUUUCCACUUUUUAUU